UGGGGAAUAUUGCACAAUGGGGGAAACCCUGAUGCAGCGACGCCGCGUGAAGGAAGAAGUAUCUCGGUAUGUAAACUUCUAUCAGCAGGGAAGAAAAUGACGGUACCUGACUAAGAAGCCCCGGCUAACUACGUGCCAGCAGCCGCGGUAAUACGUAGGGGGCAAGCGUUAUCCGGAUUUACUGGGUGUAAAGGGAGCGUAGACGGAGCAGCAAGUCUGAUGUGAAAGGCAGGGGCUCAACCCCUGGACUGCAUUGGAAACUGUUGAUCUUGAGUACCGGAGGGGUAAGCGGAAUUCCUAGUG
rnacentral:rRNA from 1 species